GUGGGGAAUUUUGGACAAUGGGCGCAAGCCUGAUCCAGCAAUGCCGCGUGCAGGAAGAAGGCCUUCGGGUUGUAAACUGCUUUUGUCAGGGAAGAAAUCUUCUGGGCUAAUACCCCGGGAGGAUGACGGUACCUGAAGAAUAAGCACCGGCUAACUACGUGCCAGCAGCCGCGGUAAUACGUAGGGUGCGAGCGUUAAUCGGAAUUACUGGGCGUAAAGCGUGCGCAGGCGGUUAUGUAAGACAGAUGUGAAAUCCCCGGGCUCAACCUGGGAACUGCAUGUGUGACUGCAUGACUGGAGUGCGGCAGAGGGGGAUGGAAUUCCGCGUGUAGCAGUGAAAUGCGUAGAUAUGCGGAGGAACACCGAUGGCGAAGGCAAUCCCCUGGGCCUGCACUGACGCUCAUGCACGAAAGCGUGGGGAGCAAACAGGAUUAGAUACCCCAGUAGUCC
rnacentral:rRNA from 1 species